rnacentral:lncRNA from 1 species
UGGAAGCAGCCUGUGCCAGUUCUCAUGUGUGUCUUUUAAACUGCACAGACUGAUCCUAAAGGUCGAAGGAAGGUGCGGGCCAGUGAGCGGCUUCCUGCUGCAACCAGCACCAGGCCGGGUGCGCGCUCUGCUGCAGUGGAGCGUGGCAAAGGUAAUUUCAGAGGGACUAAAUGGUUACCUUUGAAAGCCUCUCUGGAGUGAAUCAGAUGCAGAAAAGCAGAGUAAAAGAAACACUCAUAGCUGUUGUGUGCUUAUCUUUUCUUAGAAGUCUUGAAAGAAACAUGGAGAGACGUGAAAAAGGAAGAGAGAGUCUUGCAGCCAGCAGCGGAGGAAGCAAAACAGGAAUACAGUGAUUCUCCCUGGGAUUCUGAGACUGAUUCUGAAGGUGGAAGCAAAGUGUCGGCCGAUGUGCAGCUUCCUGCUGCAGACCAAAACAGAGUGGGUGUGAGCUCUGCUGCAGUGGAGCAUGGCAAAGGUAAUUUCAGACGGUCUACAUGGUUGUCUUUGUGCGCCUCUGUGGAGUGGAUCAGUUUUUCGGAAAAGCAAAGUGAAAGAAGCACUCACAGCAGCAACACUCUUACCUUAUUUUUUAAUCUCUAUUAUCAGCUGCAAGAGCAGAACAGAAGGAACAUUUUAUGUCCUCUUCUGAGAAUAAGGUACUUCCUGAGCUCUUACACUACCCUUGGCAGAAGUCACAUUUCUUUGUGCUCUCUGCUCAAAGGCAGUACUGUUGAGGAUUCUUUUCCCAGCUGUUUAUCUUUUUUCUUGUUUGCUUAGCUUCCUACAUUACAGAGAGAAGAUCUUCAGCUAAAGGUUGAUUCUUCAACUCAAACGGAUUCUGAGCAGGACAAACAGGUGACUCUUAGAGAUAGAUGCAAAUAUCCCUAAAUUGAACCUAUCAGUGUAAACACAUGUACUCUUGCUGGUGAGUACAUUUUGAAAUAGUGCUGAGAGGAAGUAAUUAAUCUGGACAUGAGCUGUAUUUUGGACCUAAUUUCAUAUGUAUUUGAAGCAGAAGAGCUGCAAAAA